AAAAAAAGAGAAGAAAAACAAAAAAAUUGUGCAGAGAGAAAAGAAUUCCAAUCCUAACACAAGAGACACUGUCCCUAACAGCUAAUCUCUCCUAACCUGUGCUCUCCCUGCUGCAGGAGAACAUUUUUUCCCUAGAGCAGACACCUCGAUGGACAGCAGAAUCGCCUGUGGGGCUCUGGAAAAGAGCUUUUUAUGGAGCAACCGAAUCAUGGAACUGAGAAAGCAACUCAGCCAAGGACCCUUGUCCCGUGCCUGCAGCAUUCCUUAGACUGCGAACACACACACACACAUACACACACACACACAUACACACACACACACAUACACACUCACACACACACACCGGCCCCAGUGCCAGGACAAAGUGGUUGUCCCAUGAGUCUAAUGUGCAAGUCCUGCUGAGGUGUCUGAAUGUCUGCUUUUUGUGUGUCCAGCAGCAGUUAUUUUUGGAAUAUUCCUCAGCCAGCAAUGUCUUCUGAGGAGCUGCCACCACUCCUGAGGUUGAGGGGGGAGGAUAACUCCACCCCGAAUCUAAGUGGAGAUCUGUAACCCAGGCCUGAUCAUCCACAUAGGAUCCUCUAAUCUAGGAGCACCUCAGUUUCCUAUGGUGACUGAAUCAGGAUGGGCACAUGACCCAAACCAGGCCAGCGAAGAUAACUUCUGGGACUUUCUUUGAACUCUUGAGGAAGACCUCUCCUUCUCUGUCAGAUACAAAGCCAAUGGAAUGGGAGCCCGGAGUCUGAGUUGCUCUCAGGAUUGGAGAGCCUGCUUGAGAAUGAAGCCAUCGGAAGGAGAUCGGAGAAAAGAGAUUUUCAGAGCCGGAGUUCGUUUUUGGAUAUCAUCUUGGCUCUUCAGAUGCACGAGUCAGUGCGUUUCCUUCUCAUUUAAUAAAACAAGCAUCCUCAGCUCCUUUUCUGUUACCAUAA